UGGCAGUCGAGCGGUAACAGAGAUAGCUUGCUAUCUGCUGACGAGCGGCGGACGGGUGAGUAAUGCUUGGGAAUAUGCCUUAUGGUGGGGGACAACAGUUGGAAACGACUGCUAAUACCGCAUAAUGUCUACGGACCAAAGGGGGGGAUCUUCGGACCUCUCGCCAUUUGAUUAGCCCAAGUGAGAUUAGCUAGUUGGUAAGGUAAUGGCUUACCAAGGCGACGAUCUCUAGCUGGUUUGAGAGGAUGAUCAGCCACACUGGGACUGAGACACGGCCCAGACUCCUACGGGAGGCAGCAGUGGGGAAUAUUGCACAAUGGGCGAAAGCCUGAUGCAGCCAUGCCGCGUGUGUGAAGAAGGCCUUCGGGUUGUAAAGCACUUUCAGUAAGGAGGAAAGGGAAGUAGUUAAUAGCUGCUUUCUGUGACGUUACUUACAGAAGAAGCACCGGCUAACUUCGUGCCAGCAGCCGCGGUAAUACGAGGGGUGCAAGCGUUAAUCGGAAUUACUGGGCGUAAAGCGUUCGUAGGCGGUUGAAUAAGCAAGAUGUGAAAGCCCAGGGCUCAACCUUGGAACUGCAUUUUGAACUGUUCGACUAGAGUACUGUAGAGGGUGGUGGAAUUUCCAGUGUAGCGGUGAAAUGCGUAGAGAUUGGAAGGAACAUCAG
rnacentral:rRNA from 1 species